rnacentral:rRNA from 1 species
GAUAUGAACUCUCCGAAAAAAUUACGCUGUUAUCCCUAAGGUAAGUUAAUCUUAUAAUCAAAAAUUCUGGAUCAAAAAAACAUAAAUUAAUGAAUAAAAUAUUAAAAGUUAAAUAAAUUUUAAUGUCACCCCAACAAAACUUUAUAUUCUAAAAAAUUGUUUAAUCAACAAAAAAUAAUAAUUAAUAAAUAAAGUAAACUUCUAUAGGGUCUUCUCGUCCUAUAAAAAAAUUUUAGCUUUUUAACUAAAAAAUUAAAUUCAAAAUAAUUAAAAAAAGAAAGUUUAUUUUUCAUCAAACCAUUCAUGCUAGCCUUCAAUUAAAAGACAAAUGAUUAUGCUACCUUCGUACAGUUAAAAUACCGCAGCCUUUUAAUUCAUAAAAAUCAAUGGGCAGGUCUGAUCUUAAAUUAAAAUCAAAAGACC